ACCCCUACGGGGGGCAGCAGUGGGGAAUAUUGCGCAAUGGGGGAAACCCUGACGCAGCAACGCCGCGUGUGUGAAGAAGGCUCUCGGGUCGUAAAGCACUGUCGAGAGGAACGAGCCGGCUGUCUUUAAUAGAGGCAGUCCCGACGGUACCUCUUGAGGAAGCACCGGCUAACUCCGUGCCAGCAGCCGCGGUAA
rnacentral:rRNA from 1 species